GACAAGCGGUGGAGUAUGUGGUUUAAUUCGAUGCAACGCGAAGAACCUUACCUGGUCUUGACAUCCCGGAGACCCUUAGGAAACUAGGGGGUGCUUCCAUCUGGAAGAAUCUGGAGACAGGUGCUGCAUGGCUGUCGUCAGCUCGUGUCGUGAGAUGUUGGGUUAAGUCCCGCAACGAGCGCAACCCUUGCCUUUAGUUGCCAGCAGUUCGGCUGGGCACUCUAAAGGGACUGCCGGUGUUAAACCGGAGGAAGGUGGGGAUGACGUCAAGUCCUCAUGGCCUUUAUGACCAGGGCUACACACGUACUACAAUGGCCGAUACAAAGGGCAGCGACACUGCGAGGUGAAGCCAAUCCCGUAAAAUCGGUCUCAGUCCGGAUUGGAGUCUGCAACUCGACUCCAUGAAGUUGGAAUCGCUAGUAAUCGUGGAUCAGCAUGCCACGGUGAAUACGUUCCCGGGCCUU
rnacentral:rRNA from 1 species